rnacentral:rRNA from 1 species
GGUUAAGCGACUAAGCGUACACGGUGGAUGCCCUGGCAGUCAGAGGCGAUGAAGGACGUGCUAAUCUGCGAAAAGCGCCGGCGAGGUGAUAUGAACCUUUGACCCGUCGAUGUCCGAAUGGGGAAACCCAGUGUGUUCCGACACACUAUCGUUAACUGAAUACAUAGGUUAACGAGGCGAACCGGGGGAACUGAAACAUCUAAGUACCCCGAGGAAAAGAAAUCAACCGAGAUUCCCCCAGUAGCGGCGAGCGAACGGGGAGCAGCCCGGAGUCUGAAUCAGCUUGUGUGUUAGUGGAACGGUCUGGAAAGUCCGACGGUACAGGGUGAUAGUCCCGUACACGAAAAUACACUUGCUGUGAACUCGAAGAGUAGGGCGGGACACGUGGUAUCCUGUCUGAAUAUGGGGGGACCAUCCUCCAAGGCUAAAUACU